UUCUACAAUAAGGCCACCAUACACGAUAUUAGAGACACAAUCAAGGCAGGAUGCAGCUAUGGCCCUGAAAGAGGUGAUUUCAAUGUGGCUGGGCACAUUCAAGCUGAAGAAAACAGAGCAGACAAGACUCAAAUCCAGAUUCUCUUUGGAGUUGGCUUGGCGAUCGUAGGGCAUGCAUUACUGUUUCAUUAUUUAUGAAAAUGUAUCAACUAUUUGUUUAAUGCAUGGAAGAAUAACAUUUUCUUCCGCCUGUUUUAUGUAGCUUUAAUGGAGGA
rnacentral:misc_RNA from 1 species